UGGGGAAUAUUGGACAAUGGGCGAAAGCCUGAUCCAGCCAUGCCGCGUGUGUGAAGAAGGUCUUCGGAUUGUAAAGCACUUUAAGUUGGGAGGAAGGGCAGUAACUUAAUACGUUGCUGUUUUGACGUUACCGACAGAAUAAGCACCGGCUAACUCUGUGCCAGCAGCCGCGGUAAUACAGAGGGUGCAAGCGUUAAUCGGAAUUACUGGGCGUAAAGCGCGCGUAGGUGGUUUGUUAAGUUGGAUGUGAAAGCCCCGGGCUCAACCUGGGAACUGCAUUCAAAACUGACAAGCUAGAGUAUGGUAGAGGGUGGUGGAAUUUCCUGUGUAGCGGUGAAAUGCGUAGAUAUAGGAAGGAACACC
rnacentral:rRNA from 1 species